GUACGCAGGCGGUCCAAUAAGUCAGUGGUGAAAUCCUGCAGCUUAACUGUAGAACUGCCAUUGAUACUGUUGGACUUGAAUAUAGUUGAGGUAGGCGGAAUGUGUUGUGUAGCGGUGAAAUGCUUAGAUAUAACACAGAACACCAAUUGCGAAGGCAGCUUACUAAACUAUUAUUGACGCUGAGGUACGAAAGCGUGGGGAGCGAACAGGAUUAGAUACCCUGGUAGUCC
rnacentral:rRNA from 1 species